UACGUAGGGGGCAAGCGUUAUCCGGAUUUACUGGGUGUAAAGGGAGCGUAGACGGCAGGGCAAGUCCGAUGUGAAAACCCGGGGCUCAACCGCGGGAUUGCAUUGGAAACUGCUCGGCUCGAGUACUGGAGGGGUAAGCGGAAUUCCUAGUGUAGCGGUGAAAUGCGUAGAUAUUAGGAGGAACACCGGCGGCGAAGGCGGCUUACUGGACAGUAACUGACGUUGAGGCUCGAAAGCGUGGGGAGCAAACAGG
rnacentral:rRNA from 1 species